CUAGGGAAAAAGAAGCCUCAACCCUCCUCACCCGCUUGGAAAAGGCCCAGUCCUCAGGUGUGCUGAGGGCGGUGCUCCAGGCCCCGGGGGGCAGCGUCCCACACCCCUGCCUCCGCCAGCAGCUUCUGCACGGCCCAGCCCAGACUCCAGCUCCCAGGUGGCUCUCCGCGGGUCCUGCCAGGUACUUCUCCAACCUUCCUCCCCUCACCUCACCAGAGCCAGGGUUUGCUUACAGCCAGCAGCCAAGGCCAUCCCCGGCUGACCUCGCCUGCUAUCUGUGGGCCCAGCUGUCUCCUCUUGCUCACAGAAACACAAACAGGCGUUUCUCUGUUGCAACUCCAGGGUUAGGCACUGCCCUGCCUGGGAACAAGCUGUCCGGUUCUCUGCACACUACCCAUUCUCCUGGCAGAGGCUAAGACCCCAAAUAAGUGAGAAUGCCCAUAAGAGGGCCAGCGGAGGGCUCAGGCAACAGUGGGGGCCACCCCAGAACAUGGCUUGCUACAGAGAAGACAGGCAGGGGGAAGGGUCAGACAGAACCACUGGCACUUAGCUAGGAGUUUUCAGGGCCUCUAGGAGGGGCCCCCAAGUUAACAAACAUCCCUACACGUGCCCAGCCUGACCCUGCACUACCAAACUGGGAGAGGAAGAAGCCGCCUCCAUGGGUGCUGCCCACCUGCCAGGUGCCCGCCACUGGCUGACCAACUGGAAUCAUCACAAGCCCCAGAGGACGACGUGAUCAUCACUCCUUUCAGAAAAGAAGAAACCAGCUCGAGAGGGGCAGCCACGUGCCCAAGGCCCCAUAAGCUGGCACCAGGUGCCCAGUUUGGCCCAACGGAGCUGGGCUGAGCCCAGGUGCUUUCUAUCCCCCUCCUCCUCCCAAGGCGUCGGGUUGCAGGUGCGGUGCCUACAGGUGCCUAACGAAAGCAAUGAGCCGGGUAUUCUCCGAGCACCUGCCACACACCCAGCAGCGGGGAGCACAGAGUUCCCAGAAACUAACUUCGCAGUUUCUGGUGAACGUGUCUGACCUCUCCUACUGGACCAAACACUCCCUCAGAGCAGGAUGCCUCCUGCCCAUAUGGUACUGAAAACUGUGGCACUGGAAUAGAACUGAGAGCCCAGAAAUAAACCCAUACAUCCGUGGUCAACUGACUUUCAACAAGGAUGCCGAGACCAUACGACGGAGAAAGAACAGUCCUUCCAACAACAUCUGCUGGGACAAGUGCAGAGCCACCUGCAGAAGGAUGACGUGGACCCUGACAUCACACCAUUGCAAAAUUUAACUCAAACGGAUCAAAACCUAAUGCAAGAGCUAAAACUAUGAAAUUCGUAUAAGGAAUGUCAGGGUAAAUUUUCAUGACUUCAGAUUUGGCAGUGAUUUCUUAGAGGACACCAAAAAAUAGGUGUCAUCUACAUUUUGGUGUCAUCUAAGAUUUGGCAAUGAUUUCUUAGAUGACACCAUACACACCAAAAGAAAAAAGAGACAAAUUGGAUUUUUUAUCAUAAUUUUUUUGAGACGGGGUAAUGCCGUGCUGUUUAGGUUCAUCUCAAACUCCUGGGCUCAAGUUGUCCUCCCACCUCGGCCCCCCAGAUAGCUGAGAUGACAGGCAUACACCACUGUGCCUGGCUGACUUUAUCGUAAUUUGUAAAUCUGUCAUAAUUUACAACUUUGUCCAUCAAAGGACACUAUCGAGAAGGUGAAAAGACAGCCCAUAGAAUGGGAGAAGAUAUUUGCAAACCAUAUAUCUCAUAAGGGUCUAGUAUCUACACUAUAUAAAUAAUUCUCACAACUCAACAACAAAAUGACAAUUCCAUUUAAACAUGGGCAAAGGAUUUGAAAAGACAUUUCCCCAAAGAAGAUACGCAAAUGCCCAAAAAUCACAUGAAAAAAGACUCAAUAUUGUUAACCAUCAGGAAAAUACAAAUCAAAACCACCAUGAGAUACCACUUCACAUCCACUAGGAUGGCUACACUAAAAAAUAUGAAAAAUAACAAGUGUUCGUGAGGAUGUGGAGAAACUGGAACACUUGUAUCUUGUUGGUGGGAAUGGAGAUGGUGCAGCCACUAUGGAAGACAGUUUAGUUCCUCAACAAGUUAACACACAAUUAUCAUCUGACCCAACAAUUUCGCUCCCAGGUAUAGACCCAAAAGAAUUGAAAGCAAGUGUUCAAAUUAAAACCUGUACACCAAUGCUCAUAGCAGCACCAUUCACAAUAGCCAAAGGGGGAAACAACUCAAAUGUCCAUCAACUGGGAAAAGGACAAACAAAAUAUGGUGUAUCCACACAAAAGGAUAUUAUUUGGCUAUAAAAAGGAAUGAAGUAUCGAUUCAUGCUACAACACAGACAAACCUUGAAAAUCUGUUAAAAGAAGCCAGUCACAAAAAACCACAUAUAUGAUCCCAUUUAUGUAAAAUGUUCAGAAUAGACAAAUUUAUAGAGACAGAAAGUAGAUUAGUGGUUGCCUAGGGCUUGUUGGGGUCAGGGAAGGGGGACAGCAAAAGGGAAUAGGGUUUCUGUAUGUGGUGAUGAUUGGUGAUGGUGAUUAGAAGGUCAUCCAUGACAUCCCCCAUUACUCUGGUGAAUGAAGACCAUCUAUCCCAAAUUAAUAUGUUAUUAAUUUAUUCUCCUCAUAGAGAAUUUAUAGAGUCUCAUUGACCAACCAGCCAGACAUGAUGCUAAUCUGGGUUCCAAAAACAAGAAACACCACGACAGAUCAAGGAAAUUGUUAGUGAUGGAAUCCAAAUGUCAGGCAUGUAAGUUUCACUAUAACAUUUGUUCCACUUUGCUGCAUGUUUUUAAUUAUUCAUAAUAAAUUAUUAUAAAAGUAAAAUUACAAGUAGGUAUUUUGGGCAUUCAACCUGUAGAAACCAGGUUCACAACAUUAGGAGGACACAGACAAUGACCUUGCAAGGUCCCACUUGCAAAAAAACACAUCCAUGCCUGUUCCUGCUCCCCACAGGUGUCCACAGGCGACACACCAGGUGACAUGGCUGCCUCAGGGAAGCAGAAGAUGCAGGACUUCCCUAUCGUGGCACAGGACUGAGGGCUGUGGAGUCAGUCUCUACGUAAACACAUUCAGCUCUCUGAGUUCAAACCAAGUCAGAAAAUGGGCAGAGCCACUGCUUUUAUUAGCUCCAAAUGAAUCUGGCAAGGGAUGCUGGGACUGACAAAGCAGGCGCUCAACCCUGUCACGCACUCCAGGUAGCCCUGCCAGCAGGCUGAUGAAUUCUCUUCUUCUGACAGGUGACAAAGGGCAGUGGUUACAGGUCUGGGCUCAGGGUCGCGUAUCUGAGGUUUGCAUUCUGGCUGCGAAUUAUGAGCUUGGUGACCUUGGGCAACUUCCUUCAUUUCUCUAAGGCUUGGGUGCAUCAUCUAUAAAUGAGUAGCUGCCUCCUGGGGCUAUUGGGAAGAAUAAAUUCAACCGGUGGUUCUGAAUCGGAGUGAUUUUGUCCCCCAAGAGACAUUUGGAAAUAUCUGGAGACAUAGUU
rnacentral:lncRNA from 10 species